GAUGAACGCUAGCGGCAGGCCUAACACAUGCAAGUCGAGGGGCAGCACGAUAAAGCUUGCUUUAUUGGUGGCGACCGGCGCACGGGUGCGUAACGCGUAUGCAACCUACCCUGUACUGGGGUAUAGCCCGGAGAAAUUCGGAUUAAUCCCCCAUAGUAUUAUUGAUUGGCAUCAAUUAAUAAUUAAAGGUUACGGUACAGGAUGGGCAUGCGUCCUAUUAGCUAGUUGGUGAGGUAACGGCUCACCAAGGCUACGAUAGGUAGGGGGCCUGAGAGGGUGGUCCCCCACACUGGUACUGAGACACGGACCAGACUCCGACGGGAGGCAGCAGUGAGGAAUAUUGGUCAAUGGGCGCAAGCCUGAACCAGCCAUGCCGCGUGCAGGAAGACGGUCCUAUGGAUUGUAAACUGCUUUUAUUUGGGAAUAAACCUCCUUACGUGUAGGGAGCUGAAGGUACCAAAUGAAUAAGCACCGGCUAACUCCGUGCCAGCAGCCGCCGUAAUAC
rnacentral:rRNA from 1 species